AACUACUAAGUUUAAAACAAAUGCCUUGAAAGCAUUAAUAAGAGAUCCUCCCUAGUAGUUA
rnacentral:tRNA from 1 species